AGGACGAACGCUGGCGGCGUGCCUAAUACAUGCAAGUAGAACGCCAAAAACUUUAGCUUGCUAGAGUUGGAGGAGUUGCGAACGGGUGAGUAACGCGUAGGUAACCUGCCUGGUAGCGGGGGAUAACUAUUGGAAACGAUAGCUAAUACCGCAUAACAGYACUUACUGCAUGGUAAGUGCUUGAAAGAUGCAAAUGCAUCACUACUAGAUGGACCUGCGUUGUAUUAGCUAGUUGGUGGGGUAACGGCUCACCAAGGCGACGAUACAUAGCCGACCUGAGAGGGUGAUCGGCCACACUGGGACUGAGACACGGCCCAGACUCCUACGGGAGGCAGCAGUAGGGAAUCUUCGGCAAUGGGGGGAACCCUGACCGAGCAACGCCGCGUGAGUGAAGAAGGUUUUCGGAUCGUAAAGCUCUGUUGUAAGAGAAGAACGUUAGCAGGAGUGGAAAAUCUGUUAAGUGACGGUAUCUUACCAGAAAGGGACGGCUAACUACGUGCCAGCAGCCGCGGUAAUACGUAGGUCCCGAGCGUUGUCCGGAUUUAUUGGGCGUAAAGCGAGCGCAGGCGGUUAGAUAAGUCUGAAGUGAAAGGCUGUGGCUCAACCAUAGUAUGCUUUGGAAACUGUUUAACUUGAGUGCAGAAGGGGGGAGUGGAAUUCCAUGUGUAGCGGUGAAAUGCGUAGAUAUAUGGAGGAACACCGGUGGCGAAAGCGGCUCUCUGGUCUGUAACUGACGCUGAGGCUCGAAAGCGUGGGGAGCGAACAGGAUUAGAUACCCUGGUAGUCCACGCCGUAAACGAUGAGUGCUAGGUGUUGGGUCCUUUCCGGGACUCAGUGCCGCAGCUAACGCAUUAAGCACUCCGCCUGGGGAGUACGACCGCAUGGUUGAAACUCA
rnacentral:rRNA from 1 species